GACGAACGCUGGCGGCGUGCCUAAUACAUGCAAGUUGAGCGCUUAAGGUUGGUACUUGUACCAACUGGAUGAGCAGCGCACGGGUGAGUAACGCGUGGGGAAUCUGCCUUUGAGCGGGGGACAACAUUUGGAAACGAAUGCUAAUACCGCAUAAAAACUUUAAACACAAUUUUUAAGUUUGAAAGAUGCCAUUGCAUCACUCAAAGAUGAUCCCGCGUUGUAUUAGCUAGUUGGUGAGGUAAAGGCUCACCAAGGCGAUGAUAAAUAGCCGACCUGAGAUGGUGAUCGGCCACAUUGGGACUGAGACACGGCCCAAGCGGCUACGGAAAGCAGCAGUAGGGAAACGUCGGCAAUGGACGAAAGACUGACCGAGAAACGCAGCGUGAGUGAAGAAGGUUGUCGGAUCGUAAAACUCGGUUGGUAGAGAAGAAAGUUGGUGAGAGUGGAAAGCUCAUCAAGUGACGGUAACUACACAGAAAGGGACGGCUAACUACGUG
rnacentral:rRNA from 1 species